rnacentral:rRNA from 1 species
UACAGAGGGUGCGAGCGUUGUCCGGAAUCACUGGGCGUAAAGGGCGCGUAGGCGGCUUGAUAAGCGUGCGGUGAAAGCCCGGGGCUCAACCCCGGUCGGCCGUGCGAACUGUCGAGCUGGAGCACUGUAGAGGCAGGUGGAAUUCCGGGUGUAGCGGUGGAAUGCGUAGAGAUCCGGAAGAACACCGGUGGCGAAGGCGGCCUGCCUGG